CUUUAACUGAGAUUAGCAGGAAUCUCAUCCAGUCUCGGUGAGGUCUAGAGAGGCUGCGUAUGGACAUAUUUCACAGCGUGAAUAUUUGACAAGUUCAGGUCUCGUGAGAUGCUCCCACCUACAGAGAGCGGUUUGUCAACAAGCAUUCCAUGUCAGCCGCCUAAUACCAACUCAACCAGAUCAACACUGGACUGACACCCCUGCCAGACAGAAAUGAAUCCCUCUCCAUCUUGCUUUCUUUUCAAAUCCAUUUAACGUCAACCCGGCCACCGCACAGCCCCGCCGCCGUCUUCCUAACAGGGGGAGGUGUUUCAAUUCAUCAUCGGAGCCGGCACACUUCACCCCCGAGCCUCACCGGGAAAGAGGGUUUGUGAUAACUGAAUGGCAGGCGUCCCGUCUUUAUCAGGUACCUGCGAGCGGCGUCGGUGGGCCGUCAACCCUUGAUGAGGUAGAGAGGCACCGAAAGCCAUCCGAUUCGACAGCUUUUCCCUUAAGACAUGUUUCCGUGCAAAGAUGGUGAAGGAAGGGCUGCUGAGAGACUAUUGUUCCCCCGGCCUCAGAGAACCGGGUUUGAAAUAAACUCCAUCACACAAAACCACAAACCCAGCACCGCCUCCACGCACAUGCAAUAUCAGCCCCAAAGCAAAAUUUCACCCACCAAACUUUCCAUCUAAACCAAUG